rnacentral:lncRNA from 1 species
CUUUUUAAUAUCAGCUAACUGUAUUUUCAGGGAAAGAGGACCAGAGCUACAGAGAGAAAUAAAGGAAAAACCCACCCAGGAAAAUAAAGACACAAAACUGUAGCUGUGAGGGAGGGAGUGGGGAGACUUCCUUUUGAGAGCGGCUGUGGGCUGCUUUCGAAGCAAAUCUGGGUGCCUCGGGGGCCCAGGGGUGUGUGGCUGCUAGGGACUGCAGUCUAUUCCCAGGGUGAAAGGGAGACAAAAAAUGGCACUUUGAAACCUGUGCUCUCGGAGCCACAAUCCACCCCCAGCCUCUUCAGAGAUCCAGGGUGAAGAUCCCAGCUCUGAAAUCAAACGGCUCAGCCUGGUGACCAUGGUGACCAGUGGCUCUUGUGACAUCAGAUUUGUGAGCUUUGAUCCCCCUUCUGUAAAAUGAGGCCACAGCCAUGGUGCCAGCCUUCUUGCUCUUCCGAAAAUGCAGCGGCUGGAAAGAAUCUGGUCAUACAGCUAAGAAACGGGAAAGCCUGCAUGUGAACCAGCCCUGGGUCUGUACAGAUGCUUGGUGGCUGACCAACAGAUCUGGACAAUGACCCCCGAGGUCACUGCCUGCCUGCUGUGCUACUUGACCCUAGGUGGCUAUCUGUCUUCCUUCCUGAAGUCCUCCUUUGGGCCACCCCAUCUCCAUGCUCAUCAAGCAAAAACCUCCUUAUGUCACCUGGUGAAGGAAAGGUGGAAGAAGCGGGCUGGACGGGGCGGGUUGACCAGCUGACAGAUUGGCUGUCGAGGCUUCUAAGAAGAACAGAGAGACUGUUUGUCCCUUGGAUCCUUGAAGCUGCUGUGACGUCCACGUCACUGAGGGAACACGCUCUCUCUGGAGCCUGUGGAAGACAGCACAGACCAGAUGACCUGAUGGGAGUGAACCAUUUCAAAAGGAACAGGAGAGGAUCUGUGCGCACCUCGGAGAGCUCCCCCAAAGGGACUGGUGUGAAAUUCUGGAAUCCAUCCUCACUCAUGAAGAAAUGUGAAACUGGGCGUGAUUCUAGAAGUAGCUGUUCAGUUGCUCAGUCGUGUCCAGCUCUCUGUGACCCCACGGCCGGUAAUCUGCAAGUCUCCUUUGUCCAUGGGAUUUCCCAGGCAAGUAUACUGGAGUGGAUUGCCAUGUCCUUCUCCAGGUCUAGAAGUAGGGAGCAGAUUAGAAUGGACUCACAAGGUCUGUUAUUACCAGUUUGUGGCUGUUUUAGGGGGUAUAUUUUGCCACCCUGCCCCCCUCAGGCCAUGCCACUGGGCACCAGGACUCAGGAUGAGGAGGGAAUGCUCUUGUCCCCACCCAGCACCAUCAUUAUUAUUAUAACCUUUUUUUUUCUUUUUAAGCCACCUCCAGAGAUG